CGCGGGGUGGAGCAGCGGUAGCUCGUUGGGCUCAUAACCCAAAGGCCGAAGGUUCGAAUCCUUCCCCCGCAA
rnacentral:tRNA from 1 species